rnacentral:rRNA from 1 species
CAGGUCAAGCUGUGCACUCUAGACAGACUGCCGUGGACAACACGGAGGAAGGUGGGGAUGACGUCAAAUCAUCAUGCCCCUUAUGAUCUGGGCUACACACGUGCUACAAUGGCCGGGUACAACGGGCAGCGAAGGAGCGAUCCGGAGCGAAUCCUAAAAAAGCCGGUCCCAGUUCGGAUUGCAGGCUGAAACUCGCCUACAUGAAGUUGGAGUUGCUAGUAAUCGCGAAUCAGAAUGUCGCGGUGAAUGCGUUCCCGGGUCUU